rnacentral:rRNA from 1 species
GACGAGGGGUCCUAGCGUUGUUCGGAAUUAUUGGGCGUAAAGCGCGUGUAGGCGGCUUUGCAAGUCGGGUGUGAAAGCCCUCGGCUCAACCGAGGAAGUGCGCCCGAAACUGCAGAGCUUGAGUACCGGAGAGGAUGGCGGAAUUCCCCAAGUAGAGGUGAAAUUCGUAGAUAUGGGGAGGAACACCGGUGGCGAAGGCGGCCAUCUGGACGGAUACUGACGCUGAGACGCGAAAGCGUGGGUAGCAAACAGG